rnacentral:rRNA from 1 species
CAAUAGCGUAUGUUAACGUUGUUGCAGUUAAAAGGCUCGUAGUCGAACUUUUGAUCUUACUAUCCUGGCCUUUGGUCUUGUACCUCGGUGCCAGUGAGAGUAGAUCUUCCUUCUGAAGGACACAUCUGCACUUGAUUGUGUGGACUGUGGGCUUUAGAUCUUUUACUGCGAGUAAAUCAGAGUGCUCAAAGCAGGCGCUUGCCUCUGAAUGCUUUAGCAUGGAAUAAUAACAUAGGGCUUUGGUUCUAUUUAUUGGCUUCGGAAUCGAAGUGAUGAUUGAAAGGGAUGGUUGGGGGUGCUAGUAUUUAACGGUUAGCGGUGAAAUGCUCGGAUCCGUUAAAGACUAACUUAUGCGAAAGCAUUCACCAAGGACAUCUUCUUUGA